rnacentral:rRNA from 1 species
GGGUUGUGAGGUUAAGCGACUAAGCGUACACGGUGGAUGCCCUGGCAGUCAGAGGCGAUGAAGGGCGUGCUAAUCUGCGAUAAGCGCCGGUAAGGUGAUAUGAACCGUUAUAACCGGCGAUACCCGAAUGGGGAAACCCAGUGUGAUUCGUCACACUAUCAUUAACUGAAUCCAUAGGUUAAUGAGGCGAACCGGGGGAACUGAAACAUCUAAGUACCCCGAGGAAAAGAAAUCAACCGAGAUUCCCCCAGUAGCGGCGAGCGAACGGGGAGGAGCCCAGAGCCUGAAUCAGCAUGUGUGUUAGUGGAAGCGUCUGGAAAGGCGCGCGAUACAGGGUGACAGCCCCGUACACAAAAGCGCAUGUGCUGUGAGCUCGAUGAGUAGGGCGGGACACGUGGUAUCCUGUCUGAAUAUGGGGGGACCAUCCUCCAAGGCUAAAUACUCCUGACUGACCGAUAGUGAACCAGUACCGUGAGGGAAAGGCGAAAAGAACCCCGGCGAGGGGAGUGAAAAAGAACCUGAAACCGUGUACGUACAAGCAGUGGGAGCACAGGUUUACCUGUGUGACUGCGUACCUUUUGUAUAAUGGGUCAGCGACUUAUAUUCUGUAGCAAGGUUAACCGAAUAGGGGAGCCGGAGGGAAACCGAGUCUUAAUUGGGCGUUAAGUUGCAGGGUAUAGACCCGAAACCCGGUGAUCUAGCCAUGGGCAGGUUGAAGGUUGGGUAACACUAACUGGAGGACCGAACCGACUAAUGUUGAAAAAUUAGCGGAUGACCUGUGGCUGGGGGUGAAAGGCCAAUCAAACCGGGAGAUAGCUGGUUCUCCCCGAAAGCUAUUUAGGUAGCGCCUCGUGAAUUCAUCUCCGGGGGUAGAGCACUGUUUCGGCUAGGGGGCCAUCCCGGCUUACCAACCCGAUGCAAACUGCGAAUACCGGAGAAUGUUAUCACGGGAGACACACGGCGGGUGCUAACGUCCGUCGUGAAGAGGGAAACAACCCAGACCGCCAGCUAAGGUCCCAAAGUCAUGGUUAAGUGGGAAACGAUGUGGGAAGGCCCAGACAGCCAGGAUGUUGGCUUAGAAGCAGCCAUCAUUUAAAGAAAGCGUAAUAGCUCACUGGUCGAGUCGGCCUGCGCGGAAGAUGUAACGGGGCUAAACCAUGCACCGAAGCUGCGGCAGCGACACUGUGUGUUGUUGGGUAGGGGAGCGUUCUGUAAGCCUGUGAAGGUGGCCUGUGAGGGUUGCUGGAGGUAUCAGAAGUGCGAAUGCUGACAUAAGUAACGAUAAAGCGGGUGAAAAGCCCGCUCGCCGGAAGACCAAGGGUUCCUGUCCAACGUUAAUCGGGGCAGGGUGAGUCGACCCCUAAGGCGAGGCCGAAAGGCGUAGUCGAUGGGAAACGGGUUAAUAUUCCCGUACUUGGUGUUACUGCGAAGGGGGGACGGAGAAGGCUAUGUUGGCCGGGCGACGGUUGUCCCGGUUUAAGCGUGUAGGUGUGUGUUCCAGGUAAAUCCGGUUCACUUUAACACUGAGGCGUGACGACGAGGCACUACGGUGCUGAAGCAACAAAUGCCCUGCUUCCAGGAAAAGCCUCUAAGCAUCAGGUAACAUCAAAUCGUACCCCAAACCGACACAGGUGGUCAGGUAGAGAAUACCAAGGCGCUUGAGAGAACUCGGGUGAAGGAACUAGGCAAAAUGGUGCCGUAACUUCGGGAGAAGGCACGCUGACACGUAGGUGAAGUGAUUUACUCAUGGAGCUGAAGUCAGUCGAAGAUACCAGCUGGCUGCAACUGUUUAUUAAAAACACAGCACUGUGCAAACACGAAAGUGGACGUAUACGGUGUGACGCCUGCCCGGUGCCGGAAGGUUAAUUGAUGGGGUCAGCGCAAGCGAAGCUCCUGAUCGAAGCCCCGGUAAACGGCGGCCGUAACUAUAACGGUCCUAAGGUAGCGAAAUUCCUUGUCGGGUAAGUUCCGACCUGCACGAAUGGCGUAAUGAUGGCCAGGCUGUCUCCACCCGAGACUCAGUGAAAUUGAACUCGCUGUGAAGAUGCAGUGUACCCGCGGCAAGACGGAAAGACCCCGUGAACCUUUACUAUAGCUUGACACUGAACAUUGAGCCUUGAUGUGUAGGAUAGGUGGGAGGCUUUGAAGUGUGGACGCCAGUCUGCAUGGAGCCGACCUUGAAAUACCACCCUUUAAUGUUUGAUGUUCUAACGUGGACCCGUGAUCCGGGUUGCGGACAGUGUCUGGUGGGUAGUUUGACUGGGGCGGUCUCCUCCUAAAGAGUAACGGAGGAGCACGAAGGUUGGCUAAUCCUGGUCGGACAUCAGGAGGUUAGUGCAAUGGCAUAAGCCAGCUUGACUGCGAGCGUGACGGCGCGAGCAGGUGCGAAAGCAGGUCAUAGUGAUCCGGUGGUUCUGAAUGGAAGGGCCAUCGCUCAACGGAUAAAAGGUACUCCGGGGAUAACAGGCUGAUACCGCCCAAGAGUUCAUAUCGACGGCGGUGUUUGGCACCUCGAUGUCGGCUCAUCACAUCCUGGGGCUGAAGUAGGUCCCAAGGGUAUGGCUGUUCGCCAUUUAAAGUGGUACGCGAGCUGGGUUUAGAACGUCGUGAGACAGUUCGGUCCCUAUCUGCCGUGGGCGCUGGAGAACUGAGGGGGGCUGCUCCUAGUACGAGAGGACCGGAGUGGACGCAUCACUGGUGUUCGGGUUGUCAUGCCAAUGGCACUGCCCGGUAGCUAAAUGCGGAAGAGAUAAGUGCUGAAAGCAUCUAAGCACGAAACUUGCCCCGAGAUGAGUUCUCCCUGAGACUUAAAGUCUCCUGAAGGAACGUUGAAGACGACGACGUUGAUAGGCCGGGUGUGUAAGCGCAGCGAUGCGUUGAGCUAACCGGUACUAAUGAACCGUGAGGCUUAACCUUACAACGCCGAAG